rnacentral:snRNA from 1 species
AUACCUGGCCGAGAUACCGAGAUACCAAUGGUGUGUUUUUCAAUGAGAGGCUUAUCCAUUUCACUCUGGAUAUUUGACCCCUGUGAUUUUCCCAAAUGCAGAAAACUUAGCUACAUGCUUUGUUCUAGUGUGGGAUUGCAUU